CUUGAACGUAUGUUCUGCCCACAGUUCCACAGUGGGAGCCAUUUUCAAGGAUGCGGCCUUGAGUGAGCAAUGUGUUGCUGAGACCAUCUGGACUGAAUAUGUGACUGAACCCAGGGAAGGCCUCUGCAUAGACUGUUAAGAUUCUGGCAGGCAGAUGCAGAGAUCCACUUGUCUUACGGCCGCCCAGGACAAGCCUCGUAUAUUAUCAAAGGGAUGAAUCUCUAUCCUGUGAAGAGCAUAGCUGCUGAUCAUCCCAAAACUGGAGCCAUCUUAAUGUGAACAACAGCUUUCCUCCCCGUAAUGCCCGUGCCAGCCAUUGAGCCACCCAGGAGGAUCUGGGGAGCCCCAAGUCUCCAAAGCAGAAACAAAAGGGAAGACUUGUCCGAGAUUACCUUAGUAAUAAGCAGCUAAUUAUAAUAUUAAUUUGCAUAAUACCCUCCCUUUUAGCAGUGAUUUCACUGCGAAAACCAAGUGGUAUUAAUGAAAAAAAAAUUGUUUCCAGCUGCCUAAGCCCAGAGGCUAAUCCAGGAAUUGAUGCCCUUGCAACAAUGACCAUAAGAUCUCCUUGUGGGCAGAGCCUCUGAAGGCCUGUUUGGGCAGCUAACCCUUCUUUUGAGCGCUCUUUUUUACCUUCAGUGGUUGAGACUGAGGUCUUAAAACUGCUCCUGCCAAUGACAACCAAAGUUACCUGCCAGAGCAGAAAGAAACAAAAGAAAAGGAAAAUCUUAAAUUAUGCGUUCCCUUCUUUAGAAUGGGCCUGUGGUUGGGGGCUGGCAUAUGGGCAUCAGUGGAUGAAACUGGAGAAGGUGGAAGUGUUCAUGUGAAAAAAAAUGGUUCAACAAUUUCUUAUAAAGUUAAACCCUAUGACUCAGCAAAUCUACUCCUGGGUAUGUACCUAUGAGAAAUGAAGCAUAUGUUCACCAAAAGACUUGUAAAAGAAUGUUUGGAGCACUUUAUUUUUCAUAGCCUCAAACUGAAAACAAACCGAAUGUCCAUUACCAGGAGGGUGGAAGAACAUACUGUGGAAUAUUUACGUAAUAAACUAAUAAAAUACAGACAUACACAACUUGGAUGAGCUUUGAAAACAUUAUAUUGAGUGAAAGAAUUCAGAUGCAAAAUAAUUCAUACUGUAUGAUUCCAUUUGCGUGAAGCUCCAGAACAUUCAAGGCUAAUCUAUGGUCAUAGAAAUUAGAACAGUGGUUGCCUCUCGGCAGUGGUGGUAGGAUUGACUGGAAGGGGCAUGAGGGAAAUUUCUGUGGUGCUGGAAAAUUUUAUAUAUCUUGACCAGUGUUAUGGUUACAUGGAUAUAUACGUUUGUUGAAACUCAGCAAAUAGACACUUAAAGCCUAUGCAUUUUAUUGUAUGUAAAUUAUCUCAAAUUGGAAAGAGAAAAAAAUUAAAAUUUUUAUAUUGUUCAUGUUCCUAACUGAUUAAUGUGGCAGCAGUUGGCUCAUUAGCAGAUUGUUGCAGUGUGGAAAAAUUUUGUUCUCAACCCAAUGGUUUGUUUAACUGUGCUCACUGGCAACUCUUAAUCCAUCAAAAGGAUUUUAAGAUCCUAAUAAUUAGUUUUAGCACUGCAAGAGGACAGACAGACACAAUUCACCUUUUUGCCAGGAUUGACAGAUGCUAUUUUGAUAAGCACAGGAACCAUCAGUUCAACUAACCAGCCGUUAGACCAAAGUUGAGUUUAGGUGAGUGGAACCUUCUAAUUUGUUGAGAGUUGACAGGCUGACAGUAAUACACAAACUUUUUCUUGACUCUUCUUCUGUACUAUUUCUACAUCUAAAAUGAUGGCAGACUUAAAUGUGUCUCCACUACACUGUGUGUUUUGCUUCUGCAAGUCACGUCUGGUAGGAACUACCCAGGGCGUUUGGUCCCACCUUGAGCAGAUAUGGUCAGCUAGUCAUCCUCUUAGAGGCAUGAGAAUUAAGGAAAUCCAGGAAUACAAAAGUAGAGGUGUCAGCAAGCUCCAGCUGUGUUUAAAUUCCAGGUUUGUGAGUCUGUGAGUCUCUGGAACCUAAGAGGAGACCUGAAGAUACACACUUAUUCUGUGGACAUGACUGUAACACGAGAGUGGUUUCUCUUUAACACUUAAAAAUGUUUCCAUUUCCUUAUUUAAUAUUUGGCUACAUUUGUCACAGAAAUAAAGUUAUAUAUUUGGAAACUGUAUUGGGCUCUGUAAGAUUUGCUAGGUUAUUUUCUUUUCUGUUUAUUUCAUAAAACCAUUCAUUAGUCUGUUCAGGAGUUCCAUUUGGAAUUGCAGGUGUGAGUUGAAAGCCAGACAUAAACUAAAUUACAGCAUAUACAAAAUGGAUGCCUUACAAGUGGAAAAUGCAUAUUUUCAGCUGACCUGCUCUUCAAGUAACAAUAUGUGAGAGCAAAAUAUUUAGUGUAGACUAUGUAAUAGCCAUCUUCUUAUUUUUAUAAAGCUCCAAAAUUGUAAUCAAAGAGCAUGGAUGAGUUUGAGUAGCAGAGAAAGAGGAAAGGAAGGAAAAUUUGAUCUAGAAGGCAGUUCAUUGAGAAAUAGGUGGGAAGCUUGUGGCAUCUCAGAUGAGCUGUCCUUGCUGGGGUAGAUGGGAGGGUGGGGAGGGAGGAAGUGAAGACAUAGGAGGUGACACUAACCGGAACACACAGAAGAGCAGUGGAUGGGGCGGGCAGAGGCCAGGCUGCAGCCUCAGAAACACAGCAGUGUCCUCAUAUUUAUGAAACAGAACCAUGGUGGUGAUUGGGUGUGCAACCAACUCGCAAUUUUGGGUCAUUCAGUAUUUUUAAACAAUAAUAACUUUAGCAGUAAUUCUAGGAGACUAGAGGAAUUAAAAUUAGGAAAGCUAUACUUUAAAACAUUUGAAUAAGUCACUCGUAAAAUUUAAAAGCAAUUGAAAACAUGACAUCUAUACUCUAAUUCACAAUAGAGUUAAAAGGGAGUUUACCAUUUUCCUGAGUGCAACUGGUUUGUGUUUGGUUUGCACACUGACACUUGUUUUUAUUACGAGACCCGGUAAGAAAUAAUGAAAUACCUGUUAGGAAUUUUAACACUGUGAAAGCAAGGUAGAUAACACAAUUUAGUGAAUUCAACAGAUUAAAAAAUGCGUAGUUUAGUUUAUCAAGGUGCAAGUUGUCCAAGACUAACUCAGCAUUCAACAUUGUAACCAGUAGGUAGGUGGGGAAUGAGUUUGAGUGUGUGUGUGUUUGUGUGUGUGUGUGUUAAACAUUUUUUUAAGCAUAAUAUUUAAUGUGGUGGGAACGAUUUACCAGACCUUUACAGAACAGAUAGUUCCUAUCUUACUAAAAAAAAUUCCUUUGAAAAUAAAUUUAAAAAGAUAAUUUAUACACAGGAAAAUGCACUAAUGUGAAUUAUAUAGUUUGAUGAACUUUUUGUAUAUGUAAACACUUAUAUAUUCACCACCCCAGAGAGUUUCCUCAUAUACCUUUAUUGUUAAAACCUCUUUCCAGUCCAGUCCAAAGUUAUCACUAUUUUGAUUUCUAUCACCGUAGGUUAAUUUUGCCUUUACUUGAACUUCAUAACAAUGGAAUCACUCAGUUUGCACCGUUUUGAGUCUGAUUUUUCCUCAAUUUGAUGCUGUCAAGAUUCACUCAUUGCUGCGAGUAUCAGUGAUGUUCUUUUUUAUUGCUGUGUGUUAAUUCAUUCUUUUGAAAUUUAUGUAUCCAUUCUCGUGCUGAAAUGCUGGGCUGUCUUCAGUUUGGGGCUUUGAGGAAUGGCGCUGUCAUGAGCACAGUGGUACAAGUCUUUUGGGGACAUAUGCACCUGGUGCCCAGUUCUGCCCCUGGGAGGGGGAUUCAGUAGUUCUUGAGCCUUUUUCCAAGCCUCCCCCACUCCUGACGCCCCCUUCCUCCUGUGCUUCUGCUUAACUUCCACCCAAGAUGGCGGGUGCCAAACACAGAAUACAAUUCAGGAAACCAAAUUAUAAUCCUGAAAAUGAAAAGUCCGUAAAGUUUGAUUCUGCUAUCUGAGAAGCUUUAUUUGAUUUUAACGACCAUUAGUGGAUAGCUGUUUGGCCAGUUGUCCUGAGGUGGAAUUCAGUUUGUCCUUUGCCCUGUGUUGCAGAGCCCUCCCCUGGGAUCUGAAGGUUCAAUCUGCUGUCAGCAGGAAGGGGGACUUUCCCUUCCUGCUGGGAAUGGCAGUGCCCUGAGAGGAACACCUCGUUCGUCUUCUUCCUCCUGCACGAUCUCAGAUGACUCUUCUGGCUGUUGUAAUAGCCACUGACACCCCUUACUGAGGUAGCUAUGGACUUGGGUAGCUUAUGUUCCCCUUGAGGCUGCAAACAGCUUUGUGUCAUAUUUAUUUUCUCAAGAAGCGGCCUCCUAAGAUGUCAAUCCUCAAGGCCCUUGUUUCCUGUCAUGUGGGUAAAACUUCAGGCUUUAUCUUUGGAACCCUUCUAGGGUAUUUUCUAAUGCUGUGGCUCUGUGGUCACCAAAACUUCUGCCAGGCCUGGCUAGCCAGCGCUCAGCAAAGUGCAGGGCAGCCAAAUGCUUGUCACCCCCAAAUCAAGCCUGUUCUGUGAGGAACUCAGUGAGCACAGCACCUGGAGAUACUUUCCAGUUGCCCUCACCUUUGGUAAACCCCAGAUCUUUAAGUAACUUAUUUAUUUUCCCUCCUCAAACAACUACUUUGUGUCCCUCAGAAUAUAUUUCAUUGUCACCUGUACCUUUUGGGUUGUGGAAAACAAUCGUCUGCCUCAAUUAAGGAAAUAAACUGAACUUUAUAGGUUUUUCUAAUUUUCUUUUAUCUACUCCAUAUUCCGAGGGAUUACAAUUUUUCAUUUUGAUGAAACAUUAAAAUUUCUAAGAUAUUUUUCCUUCCAAGUACGAUCUUCAAAUAAAUUCAUGUAUCCUAUUUCCUCCUGUCCAGAUGCACACAUUCAAAACUGCAAUGGCAUUCCUCUUAGAGAUAAAAUAGAAAGUUCUCACAGGUAAAGUGGUUCUAUCAUAUGAAGUGAUCUUUUUCAAUCAAUUGAAUCAGCCACCACAGCUUGAGGCUGGACCCUGGUAAAAAUGUAAAGUGGCUGGCGUCUACUGCUUUUUGAUUUAAUGUGUAUUUUUCCCUCUUGGAAAGGUAAUUCAUACCACAAAAAGAUCUGAUGCUUCUUAACAUUAAGCUGCAAAUGACUGUGAACUUUAACAUACGGUCUUCAUGGAGCAUUUUGCAUUUUAACAUCUAUCAUACCAGAAGAUCAGUAGCAGGAUGUUCGUUACCAGCUAACACUUUUCUUAGGGCAAUGAGAGCUCUAUUCCCCAGCGUGCAUAGCUAUUAGAGCCGUGAGCCCUUUUGAGGUAGGCCUGCUUGGUUAGGAUGCCACCGGAUGUUCCAGGUGUUCUGGAUUUUGAAGACUCUGAGGCAAGUAUUCUAUUAGUGCCCUUGGGGGAAGAGUCUAUUUUGAGAGUCAGUUGUUUUCCUUGAUAUUCAUUGUUCAUCUCUUGUAGGUGACUGGAAGAUGAAAUAUUUUUCCAGGCACAGAAGAAAAUCCAGUUCUGAGCCUCUAAUAGACCCCAGUACAGAUAAAUGAGAAGUGAGAGUGGGAGUCUUGCCAGACUUGGGUUUCAAUCCUUGCUCCUUAGUAGGGGGAGCUGACAGUUGCAAUGGAUGGUAGCAGCACGAGGCAAUAUCAGAGGAGCCAAUUCUGGUUUCAUUUUGGGCUUCAUUGCUCACCUCAAUUCUGUGCUGCCAGAGUGAGGUGUCUCAAUUUCCCUCCCACACGGGGAUUACAUUCUUUUUGUUAUUUCUACAGAAUCUAUCCCUUCAAGGAGCUUGACGUCGCUCGUUUCAUGUCUCAGAUGAGUGCAAUAGGAAAGUCAUUAGUAUCUCUAAUGUGCAGAUGGGGAAACCAAGAUGUUCUAUUUUGGGGUCCAGUAUGUUUCCCUUCACUGUGUGUUCUUUCUCAAAUUAGGGUACAAAAUUGUUUAUUAUUAUUGCUAUUAGUGGUUAACAUUGUAUAGUACUUUAAACUUUCCAAAUUAUUUCCAUAUUGAUUGUCUUCAUUCCUCAAGACGGAGGAAGAGCAGAGUUGAUAUCCAGACCAACAUAACGCAGAUCACAUGGCAGGGUCAUACUCAAGCAUGGGACUCCUCUCUUGGCACCUGCCUCUGCCCUGUAGACCAGCAUGUCUUAUUUGUUGCAAUCUAGGCCUUGUGAAAGUUCUUUGUGAGUUUGCAUAAGGAUCAUAAUAUCAGAAGAUGCUAUCUGGGUGUUGAAGAAAAUAAAACAAGGAAAGGAGAGAGAGAGAGGUUGAUUGUUUCAAGAGGCAGCUGAGUAUAACGAAAUGAACACUGGGUUGGGGUUAAAUAUUAGCAAUAAGAGCUGUUGUAUAGUGGGUGGUUUCUGUGUGCUAGGCAUAGUGUGAAGCUCGUGUAGGCUCUUUCCAUUAAUCUUAACAACAACCCUAUGAUGAAAAUUUUGUCAUCAUCCCUGUUGUAGAGAUGAGGAACUAAGGCUUAGAGAAGUUAAAGAAGUUGCCCAACGUUACACAGUUAAUAAGGGCUGGAGACAGGAUUAAAAGCCCAAGUUCUUUUUUUUUUAUUGAGGUAGCAUUGGUUUAUAACAGUAUAUAAAUUUCAGAUGUACAUCACUGUAUUUCAACUUCUGUAUAGACUACAUUGUGUUCACCACCAAAAGUCUAGUUUCAUCCAUCACUGUACAAAUGUGCCCCUUUACCCUUUUUGCCCUCCUCCAUCCCCUUUCCUCUCUGAUAACCACCAAUCUGUUCUCUGUAUCUACGUGGCUUUUUUCUACAUAUGAGUGAAAUCAUAAGGUAUUUUUCUAUCUCUCUUUGACUUAUUUCACUUAGCAUAAUACCCUCAAGGUCCAUCCCUGUUGUCGCAAAUGGCACAAUUUCAUCUUUCUCAUGACUGUGUAAUAUUCCACUGUGUGUGUAUAUACAUCUUCUUUAUCCAUUCAUCCGUUGAUGUAAAGCCCAAGUUCUUCACCAUAAUGCUCUACUGCUUCUCGUUAUUUGAAUCCUGUAACAAAGUUGCUUGGUCUUGGUCCAUGUUUACCAAGCAGAGACAAAGCUAGCUAGAUUUUAUGAAUAUAAUUUCCUUGGGGCACUUAUGUUUAUCGUUAUAAAUUAAUAAAUUACUCUUAUGAUUUACUUUAAAAAAUGACAGCUAGUCUUUAUUGAGUGCUUACUAUGUGCUGGGCUUUGUUUCAAGCAUUUUGCACGCAUUAGCUUAUUUAAUCAUCACAACAAUCUUUGAGAAUGUUACUACUAAUAUCUCCAUUUUACCAAGAAGGUAAAAUAGCCCUGAGAGGUUCAGUACUUGGCCCAAGUUUGCACAGUCAGCAAGUGAUGGAGUUGGAGUCUGAAUCCAGGCAGUUUGGCCUUGGUAUCUAAGCUCAUAACCACUCUUCUGUACUGGCUCCAAGCGAGUGGGUCUUACGAGCCUGGGUCAUGUAAGUCCUUCCUAGGAAACAGUCUAUUCGUGGUGUGAUGGUGCAUUUGGCAGUUGAGCCUGCAAGUCUAGGAAAUAAAUCUUGGACCAGGAAAUAUUCAUUAAGCUAAAUGAUGUUACCCUGUGAGGCUUCUGAGGAGACAGGCUGCUGGUUUCCCUGGAGAUAACCCUGGGCCCACAGUUCCAUGUUUUAAAACACUUCACACAUGCUCCAUGGAAUGUAAUGAGUGCAAAUUGUCUGCAGAUAUGGUGCUACAUGUCCCAGAAGGAGGUCAGUGUCAGGAAGGCUAUUGAUAGCUUUGCUUGGGUGGAGGUGUUUGAAGGGAAAGGGAAGAGAUGAGGCAUGAGCAGAAGAUGAAGCAAAGGUGGGAGUGGGUGGGGGAGAUGGGCGUGGAGAGAGAGGUCACCUCAAAGCAAAGAUCUCUGCUUGGGGGCAGUGAGAACAGGUGAACAGGUGAGGAGAGGCUGGACCAUGGAGAGAUCAAAGAGUUCACAAUUAAGGUUGGAGAUCAUAAGGCACUAAUGUCCAGAUGAAAGAGAAGUUCAAGGGAGAUCCUUCUGGAAGGAGGGUCUUGUGGUGUGUUUUGGGAGGGCAAGUCAUUUGCCUGAAGGGAUGUUCAAUAGAGUAAGUUUAGAAACUUGAGAAUAGAAAUGCAUAGGUUGAAAUGCUGGAACUGUCUUCAUUUCAUUUCAUUUUCUCUUUGUCACACGGUUAUGAAUUUUCUGAGGUUAAGCCAGAGCAAAAGAGAAAGUCCAGAAUAGAAAUAGAGGUGUCCUGAAGGCCAAGACAGAGAAGAGCAACUUUGUCCACCUCCUUUUCAGAAUAUCACGCUGGCUCUGAGUGCCCAGUGGGUACAUCAAACCUUGCAUUUAUAUGACAAAUGAGUAUUCGCAGUUGUGUACUAAUUUAGUUCUUAUGGGCGACAGGCCCUCACUUCUAACUCUUCUGCACCGUUCCCAGGGGUGCACUGGUUGCUGCUCAUAUUGGAGGGUGCAUUGUCUGCCUCUGAAGGGAGACCCAUAGGAAGGAUCUGCUCACCAACAGUUUGUACUUGUGCUGGGGAGGAGGGGACAAUGUCAGAACAGACAGUGUGCUUACCUCCCCUCCUCUCAGCGUCUGUUGCUGGAAUGCUGAGAUAGGGAGCCAGGGCCUGCUUCUCUCUCCCACUCUUCCAUGUUCCUUGGGGCUCAUAGUUAGAGAAUCAGAAUCUUUCUGUAGAGAUUGUGUAGACUCGUUAGAACAGCCAUCUUCUAAUGUGAUGGUGUCCUUUCACCUGUCUGAUUGCCCCUUUGCAGUCAUUUUUUUUUUUUUUCCUGGCAUCUCUAGGUCUAUGCAUUCUUUAAAUGCUGGCAUUUGUCUAUUCAGGGUUCUAGCCUCAGCCGUCUCCUGCCCCACUUCCCACUCACGCUCUUAGCAUGAGCUCCUUUAGAACCAGGCCUUCACGUGCCAUCCAUGUGUCCAUGACUUCCGUGCCUGUGUUUCCAGUCCAGACUGCUCUCCCAAACCAUUGAAGAGUAGGACCAGUGGUCAGGAAAGCUGGUCCCAAAGCACCACAGGGACAAGUCACCUUUCACCUUUUCAGGGACAAAGACUGCAGCCCAUCUUUGCCUGAGCACUAUAAAAUAAAUGGCUGUGAUUAUUGGUGAGUGGGUGGUGAGUGUUGCAGAUGAGAAAAUAGAGAUAAAUCAGUGUGAAUCCAUUUCCAACACUGGAAAGACAACAGUGAAUUCCAGCUCUGCUGUUUGCAGAGGAGACACAUUGAUUGUGUUUGGGGGAACAUAUCUGAGAGUUGCCAUCAAUAUGUCCCCCAUAGAAAGUAGGCAGUAGGCCAUCUGGCUGAUUCUGCCUCCUCCUGAAGAAGGGCAACUGUGACACAGACCAACCAAUCAACAAAAUGUUAGCUCUAGAAAUUCUUUAAUAGACAUUUAAUCUGCUUUCUUAUAGCAUUUUCCAAAGCAAGCAUUGUUUAUAAAUUAUCCACACAUAUACAUAUAUACAUACAGAUAUGUAUGUAUGUUGUAUAUAUUGGCUUGAUGAAUUUUUACCACAUAAACAUACCCUUGUUACCAUCACUCAGGUAAAAAAAUACAUUACUAUCACCCAUAAGCUUCCCUCUUGCUCUCUCCCAGUCAUUACCCUUUCCCAAAAGAUAACUUGUUCUGUCCUUAUGUAAGUUUUUAUAUCAAUGGGUUCAUGCAGCAAGUACCCUUCUUGUGUCUGGAUUUUUUCUUUUAACUUUAUGUUUUAAAGAUUUAUACAUGUUGUUUAGAAUAGCUGUAGUUAAUUCAUUUUCAUUCUGAAUAUACCCCAAUUAGUUAUCCUGUUUGCUGUAGGCGACAUUUGUACUGUUUUAAGCUUCUAUUUCAAAUAAUGUGCCAUGAACAUUCUUGCAAGAGUCUGAUGCUCAUAAGCAUGUAUUUCUGUUAGCUAUAUAACUCGAAGUAGAAAUGCUGGGUCAGAGGAUAUGCAUGUCUUCAGAUUCCGUGGAUAAGGAUAAGCUGUUUUCCAAAUUGGUUGCACAAUUUGCAUCCAUACCAGCAAUGUCAGAGAGUUUCUAUAUCCCCAUCAACACUUGGUAUAGUCUGUUUCGAACCAAAAAAACCCCAGCCAAUCUGGUGGUGUGCAAUGACAUUCCAUUGUGAUUUUAAAGUAGAUUUUCCUAAUUGCUAAUGAUAUUGAAAAGUGUUUCAUAAGUUUGUCAGUUAUUUGGAUGUCCUCUCUUAUAAAUCUCUUGCCCAUUCUUUAAAUUUGGUUGCUGGUUUUUUUUUUUAUUGAUUUUGAGUGUUUCUCGUUAUAUUUGCAGUAUAAAUCUUUUGUCGCAUAUAUGUUAUGCAGGUAUCUUCUACUUUUCACUCUCCUAAAGUUAUCUUUUGAUAAACAGAAUAACGUGGUCUUUAUUUAUGAUUGUUUCCUCUGUGCUUAGUGCUUUCUGCGUUCUAAGACAGGUCGCAAAGACAUUUUCUUAUGUUAUCAUCCAGGUGCUUUAUUGUUUAAUCUUCCUCAUUUGGAUCUAAUCUAUCUGGAAUUGAUCUGUGUGUGUGUGUGCGUGUGUGUGUGUGUGCGUGCUAUGUGAUAGAGAUUAAGAUUCAUUUAAAAAACUAUGCAUAUUUCCUUUACUUAAAAGUCGUUUAAUGUAAAGAUCAUCCUUUUCCCACCACACUGCCAAUGUUGGUGGUCUUCAAGAUGGCUGUAGCUAUUGUAGGCCCCUUGAAUUUUCAUAUCAGUUUUAGAAUCACCUUGUCAUUUUCUGUUAAAAAAUUCCAGCAAGCACUUUUGAUUGGGAUUGCAGGGAACCGACAGAUCAAUAUAGAGGCACAUUGGUCUCUUUGCAGUGUGGUCUUCCAUCACUCAGUUAGGAAUUCUUUCUCUACGUCUGUCUUCUUUAUUUUCUCUCAGAAAUAUCUCGUUUCUGUGUUGAGUUUCGAACAUCUUUCUUUAGAAUUAUUUCUUCAAAUUCAUUUUUGAGUAAAAAUAUCAUUUUAAGAUAAUGUCAUAAAAAAGUUUUAUUUUCAAAUUCUUUUUGGCUGGUAUGUAAAAACGCAAUUUGUUUUUGGACCUACAUU
ensembl:lncRNA